rnacentral:lncRNA from 1 species
UUUUUUUUUUUUUUUUUUUUUUUCCCAAGACUUUAUAUGUAGGCGCUCAGUUGAGAUCUCUAAGGCAGAUUGGGUUCCCACUGUGGCCUUCACUGAUGUUCUUGUUUUACUGUUUGAAACACUCUGUGGCCCCUGCUUGUUCUGUUUAUCUCUAACAUCAGUGAUCCGAAUCUCUUAAUGACCUUUAUUCUUUUUUUAAUUUUACAAUGAUUUUUAUCUUUUCCAUUAUAGUUGGUUUAGUGUUCUGUCAAUUUUCUAUUGUAUAGCAAGGUGACCCAGUCACACGUACAUGUAUACAUUCUUUUUUCUCACAUUUUCAUCCUCCAUCAUAAGUGACUAGACAUAGCUCCUAGUGCUACGCAGCAGGAUCUCAUUGCUUAUCCAUUCCAAAGGCAAUAGUUUUGUAUCUAUUAACCCCAAGCUCCCCAAACCACACCAUUCCCUCCCCCUCCCCCUUGGCAACCACAAGUCUAUUCUCCAAGUCCAUGAGUUUCUUUUCUGUGGAAAGGUUCAUUUGUGCUGUAUAUUAGAUUUCAGAUACAAGUGCUAUCAUAUGGUAUUUGUCUUUCUCUUUCCAACUUACUUCAUUUAUAUGAGAGUCUCUAGUUCCAUCCACGUUGCUGCAAAUGGCAUUAUUGUGUUCUUUUUUUAUGGCUAAGUAUGUGUAUAUGUACCACAUCUUCUUAAUCCAAUCAUCCGUUGAUAGACAUUUAGGUUGUUUCCAUGUCUUGGCUGUUGUGAAUAGUGCUGUGAUGAACAUAGGGGUGCAUGUGCUCAAUGACCUUUCUCAUCUUCAGUGGUCACCUUUUCAACCCUCCCCCCACCAUGGGUAACUUGCAAUUCUUCUUUCUCCUCUGCAAUAUUUGCUUCUUGAUUUGUUUUAUAAAUUAAUUUAUUUAUGUAUGUAUGUCUUCCUUUUUCUAAGGAAAGCAUCUUAUUAGUGAGCCUGGCCAGGGGUGUAGAAAAAAAAAAAUAACCUCUUUUGUUCAGGAAUGCUAGGAGUAAACAAACUUGUCUUUUCACAUGUGAAUUCACACAGCUGCCCCAGAAAGCUGCUCCCACAAGCUCCCCUCUGCAAAAUAACCAGAGCAAAACCCAACACACCAAGUCACCACUGUAAUCAGGAUCUGAUUCACUAUGAAAAGGCAUUGUUACAUAACGCCCUAUCUAAGUCCAUCUAUGAGGUUUGCUUUCAGUCGUCUUGACGUCAGGCAGUAUGGGGGAAAAAAGAAAGAAAAAAAGACUUUGCCUCUUUAGUUGGUGCUGCCAGAUGUAAAAAGGAAACUCUUUAAGCAUUCCAAUUGCCCCAGUUGGUACCAAGAUGGGCUGUGCUCACAAUCAGGGCAUUCUUUUACCAAACAGGUGAAAGUGGAGAGGCUGGGGACUACAAUUAUCCCCCAACAACAAAGCCACCAUUUCUGUGGCUGAUGGCUUUGUUUCCAUGGUAGAAGCUGCAUUGCUUGGUGCAGAAUUGUUCCCAAGUCUUGCAGCAUCAUUUGGACAACCCAGAUGUGCCAGUGGCAGCCCCAUUUCCCCCCUGGCCUGACAGCCCCUCAGAAGAGACCCAUUAAUAGCGAGCCAGUCUGCUCCAAGCUGCUACAUUAGCAGCAGGAAUCAACCCUCAUUCACUCAUUUAUUUAUAAAAUUGGGGGGGGGUGUAGUGAAGGUGGGCUAAGGAAGCAUGCAAUUAUUAGUUCAGCUUUCAGUUCAUUUUGCACAAUAUCAAGAGCAUACACAUGGCUAGGUUAUACCAAAUGGACACAUUAAAAACUCCUUCUGAGCCAUUGAGCAAUUUUACAGUUUAAGCCAAAACAUUCUCAUCAUAGGAGCCCCAAACCUAAUAUAGUUCUCCAGUUAAGCUGAAGAAAAAACUGCAUUGCUUAUGAUUGAUAUCCAUAAGAAAGAAAAUUUUAAGGAAAAGAUUAAAAUAUUGAGGAGGAUUCUAUUAUGCUAGCUGAAAAGAAUCUUGGAGGAUUCUGGUUCAUCCUGAGUCACAAGGCUAUGUUCAAAUUGUGUGUGGAUAAUUCUGUAUCAGGACUGACCAAGCCUGGUGCAUAGACCUAAAUGCUUGAGCCCAGAAUAUCAUGUGAUAAUCAACAGACCCUCAUUAGAGGGAGAGGUGAAUAAAAUUAUAAUAACCUCACAACAAAGAUGACCCUUUGCUUUGUCUUAUCAACAUAGUUUUGGAAUGAAAGGGCCAUACGAAGUCAAAUUGAUUUUGGGUUUUUUUUGUUUUGCUUUGUUUUGUUUUGUUUGGAGUUCCCAGGCCAGGGAUCACAUUCCAAUCACAGUUGCGACCUAAGCCACAGAGGCAGCAACACUGGAUCCUUAACCCACUGUGUGUCCCUGUGCUCCCAAGAUCCUGUUGAUCCCUUUGCACCACAGCAGGAACCCCUCAAUUUUUUAAAAUUAUGGUAAAAUAGGCAUAACAUAAAUUUUACCAUGUUUGAGUGUACAGUUCUGUAGCACCAAGCCCAUCAUCACCAUCCAUCUUCUGAACCUGUUCAUCUUCCCCGCCUGAAACUGUAUCCAUUCAAGUUUGGUUUCAUAAUAGCAUGUUGCAUGCAUGUAAAAAAAGUACAAAGAAUGAUAGAGUCAGCACAUAUGCAUCCACCACUUACCUCCCCAUAUUACAGUUUGUAAUAUUUGCUUCAGAUCUCCUCCCACUUCCCCUUUUCUUCUUUUUCUUCAGAAAUGAAACACCUGUUGAUACAACCAGAUACCUCAUGUGAUUCAUCCAGCCUAUGUCACCUUAUUCUUCCCCCAGGGUAGCCACUGCGUUCACAAUAUCAUAACAUCUGAGCAUAUCUGUAACAAAUAUAUACACUGUUUUGUAUGUGUGUAUAUAUAUAUAUACAUAUAGCUCAAAUUCAUUCUUUUCAUUUUUACUUAUUUAUUUUUUUGCACACACCCAUGGCAUGCAGAAGUUCUGGGUCUAGGGAUCGAACACACACCACAGCAAUGACUAGAGCCACUGCGGUGACAAUGCCAGAUCUUUAACCCACUGCGCCCCCAGGGAAACUCCAAAUUCAGAUCUGGGGAAUAUCCC